CUACGGGUGGCUGCAGUGGGGAAUAUUGGACAAUGGGCGAAAGCCUGAUCCAGCCAUGCCGCGUGUGUGAAGAAGGCCUUCGGGUUGUAAAGCACUUUCAGUGGGGAAGAAAGCCUUGGGGCUAAUACCCUCGAGGAAGGACAUCACCCACAGAAGAAGCACCGGCUAACUCCGUGCCAGCAGCCGCGGUAAUACGGAGGGUGCGAGCGUUAAUCGGAAUUACUGGGCGUAAAGCGCGCGUAGGCGGUCUGAUAAGCCGGUUGUGAAAGCCCCGGGCUCAACCUGGGAACGGCAUCCGGAACUGUCAGGCUAGAGUGCAGGAGAGGAAGGUAGAAUUCCCGGUGUAGCGGUGAAAUGCGUAGAGAUCGGGAGGAAUACCAGUGGCGAAGGCGGCCUUCUGGACUGACACUGACGCUGAGGUGCGAAAGCGUGGGUAGCAAACAGGAUUAGAUACCCGUGUAGUC
rnacentral:rRNA from 1 species